GGAUUAGAUACCCUGGUAGUCCACGCCGUAAACGAUGUCUACUUGGAGGUUGGAACCUUGAGUUCUGGCUUUCGGAGCUAACGCAUUAAGUAGACCGCCUGGGGAGUACGGUCGCAAGAUUAAAACUCAAAUGAAUUGACGGGGGCCCGCACAAGCGGUGGAGCAUGUGGUUUAAUUCGAGGCAACGCGAAGAACCUUACCUACUCUUGACAUCCAGAGAACUUUCCAGAGAUGGAUUGGUGCCUUCGGGAACUCUGAGACAGGUGCUGCAUGGCUGUCGUCAGCUCGUGCUG
rnacentral:rRNA from 1 species